GGCCAACCAGGAUAUCUCAGUUGGUGGAGCAUGAAACUCUUAAUCUCAUGGUCAUGAGUUUGAGACUCACGUUGGGCA